AUUUAGUUUGGUCGUUCAUCUUCUCAUUUCUUCUUCUUCCUUGUUCAGAUUUCAUUCCUUCAUUGAUGUCCAAAUUAGUCUGGGUUUUGAAUCUCCAACAUCCCCCCUCAAGUUGGAGGGGAGUGUAGCGACCCCCAACUUGCUCGGUAUUCCUUUAUGUGAACUCCCAGAAAGAGGCUUAGUAAAUAGAUCGCCCAACUGAUCUUUAGAUGGAACAAAAGAAAGGGUAAUUAGACCAGAAAGAAAUUGUUGACGCACAAAGUGGCAGUCAAGCUCAACAUGCUUUGGAAAACAGGGUUGCGAGCAAUAUGGAUGGCUGAUUUAUUAUCUGAGUAAAGGGUAAUUGGAAGGGUAAUAGGAGCGGAGAGGUCAGCAAAAAGGCGUACAAGCCAUGUUAUUUUAGCGGUGACUCUUCGCAUGGAGCGAUAUUCUGCUUUGGCAGAAGAGAGAGAAAUGGACACUUGCUUCUUGGAUUUCCAUGAAAUAGGAGAUCCCCCUAAAGUAAUGAAGAAACCAUUCACAGUUCUUCGAGUGUCCUUGCAAGAAGCCCAGUCCGCAUCACAAAAAGCAAGAAAAGAAAAUUUUGGAGCAGAGGAUAACAGGAUCCCUUGGCCAGGAUCAGUGCUCAGAUAUUUGAGAAUCCUUAAAGUAGCAAAAAGAUGUUACUGGCAAGGCCGCUGCAUGUAUUGACUCAAAGUGAGAACAACAAAGGAGGGAUCUGGGCGCGUGUUGGUAAGAUAAUUCAAUUUUCCAACCAAAUGCCGGAAUAAACUAGGAUUCUUCAUGGGAGGACCAUCAUCUGCUUUAAGCUUGGAGCAGGGAUCCAGAGGGGAAGUUGCACGAGGAAAACGAGAGACAUCAAAUUCCUUGAGCAUAUCCAAGGUAAAUUUUCUUUGACUGACGAUAAAAUCAUUACUUCCACGCAUAACUUCUAGACCAAAAAAAUAGUGUAUAUCUCCUAAAUCCUUACUUUGAACUGGGAAUGAGGAAUUCUUUGAUGUUUUGAAUCUCUUGCAAGUCGUCCCCUGUUAAUAAUAUGUCAUCAACAUAAACUGCUAAAAGUGAUACGAGACCAUCUCUUUUCUUGAAAAAUAAAGAAUAAUCAUUCAUAGAUUAAAGUAUACUUUGAAACUUAAUGCCCCUGUAAGUCGAGCAUACAACUGCCGUGAAGCUUGCUUCAAAUCAUAUGAAGACUUUUUCAGCAGACAAACAUGAGAAGGACUAGGAGGGGUGAGUCCCGCUGGAAAUCUCAUGUACACCUCUUCUUGUAGACCUCCAUGUAAAAAUACAUUAUUCACAUCUAACUGGAAACAGUCCAACCCCUCUUUGCUGAAACAGAAAGAAGACAUCUUAUAGUUGUCGUUUUGACUAUCGGAGAGAAAGUCUCACUGUAGUCUAUCCCCUCUCUUUGAAUUUCACCCCUCACUACAAGUUUUGCCUUUAGCCUUUCAAUAGUUCCAUCAGAUAAGUGCUUGACCUUGUAAACCCAUUUGCAAGGUAAUAGCUUCUUCCCUUUAGGCAACUCAACCACUUCUCAAGUUUGAUUAUCUUGUAAAGCUUGAAUUUCUGAUUCCAUGGCUUAUCUCCAACCCGGAUAUUGAGAAGCCUGUUCAUAACUGGUAGGCUCAUUCAAAUUUGAUAGGGACUGGAUCAGGUGUUGAUUACUGAUGGUGAGGGAGGAAAAGGAAUAGGCACUAGGCCUAGUAGGUUGUGCGAAACAUGCCCUAUCCAAAUCAGUAAACAUGAUGUUGUUACACAUAUCGUCUUUAAGAUACACAGGUUAUUGUGUCACUCUAGCAGACUUUCUUAAUGAAAAUUCAUGUCUAUGUGUAGGAACAGGAGAUUGGGUUGGGUAUAUACUAGGACUGGUAUGAGGGAUAGGUGAAAUAAGAUGAGAAGAACAGGGUGAGAAUGGAGGAAUUGGACUGUUAAGCUCCAUAUCUUCUGAGAGGACAUUCCUUCCUGUAUCUGUUGAGUGGGGUUUGAAUCUAAAGGAAGUGGUGAAUCCGAAAAAAUAAGGUUGUGAAUAGGUUUAAGCUUGGCAAAAUGAAAGUGUGACUCAAAAACUUUAACAUCUCUAGAAACAAAAUCUUCUUGGUUUCCAGUUCCAAUAACUUAUAUCCUUUAUGAUUCAAACGAUAUCCAAUCACCACACAAGCAGUUUCUUUCUCAUCAAAUUUACUUCUUCCUUGAGUUAAGGUAGAAGCAUAGCAUAUACACCCAAAGUUUCUCAAAUGAUCAUAUUUAGACUUUUUGCUUCAAAAGGACUUUAAAAGGAGUCUUGCCAUUGAGUACUCCGGAAGGCAGCCUAUUUAUAAUGUCUGUUGUAAUCAAGAUAGACUCUCCCCAAUAUAAUACAGGUAGUCUAGACUGGAACAUUAAACCUCUUGCCACUUCUAGGAGAUGCAUGUGCUUCCUCUCAACAAUCACAUUUUGUUGAGGAGUACCAACACGACUUAACUUAUGCAGUACUCCUUUUGAUGCAAGAUAUUUUGCUUCCAGUGUCUCAUUUCCCAGUUCCAAAGCAUUAUCAGAUCUUAUCAUCUUAACCUUGACAUUGAAUUAUCUCUCCACCAUAGAUAGGAAAAUUUUAAUGUAAAAAGCAUUGCUUUUAGCGCUCAACAAAAAUGUCCAGGUUCCUCUAUUGUAGUCAUCGACAAUAGUGAGGAAAUAUUUGAAACCAUUGUAAGUACUAGAUGUAUAAGGUCCCCAAGUACCAAUAUGUAUAAGAUAAAAAGCGUGCUUUGUUUUUAUGUUAUUGAUGGGAAAGGGAUUUCUAGUAUGUUUAGAUUUAGGGCAGAUAUCACAAAUGAAAUCAGAAUUUGAAGGACAAUAAGUGUAAAUGUUUCAUUGCUGAAAUUGGAACAUGACCCAACCUUUCAUGCCAAAACUUUACAUCAGGUAUCACAUUGACAUGAACUAAUUAUGAACCUAAAACAGACCUAGAACUGGAGUUUCAUCCUUUUGAAAAUGAAAUUACAUUACUACUAGAAUUGAAAUUACUAGGCUCUAGUAUAUAGAAACUUUCUCUAAAUUAACCAAAAAUUUGAGGACUCUUCAUUUAAAGGCCCUGCAACAGGCAUCCAUUAGGUGUAAGUAGAAGAUUAUAGUGGAAUUGCACAUAACUUAUGAACAGAAAGUAAAUUAUAUCUAAAAUCUGGCACAUGAGGGACAUUGGUUAAAACAUGACCUGGAAAUAUUAAUAUAUACUCCCAAUAUGAGUAACACUUACCUUGAAAGAAUUAUGUAAAUUAAUGUUCAAAGGUACUGGGAGUGGAAUUAGAAAUAGGAAAAAAUUAGGGUCAAAACACAAGAGUUUAGAUGCUCCAGAAUUAAUUAUCCAGGAAUCGUUUUUUAAACUAGUAAAUAAUGAUCCUGUCCUCCACAUUGUGUUUAUUUUGACUGUUUGUAUAUAUCCAUCAUCUCCGUAAUUUGUUCCUUGCUGAAAUACUGACCAAAAUUGUAGUUAUUGACCUCAUUGUUUUGCCCUGUUCCAUUAUCUUCUUCAUGAGUUGCUGCCAUAUUUGCCUUGACAUGAUUUUGAUAAGUCUUUGGGUUAGUAAAUUCAAAUUAUCUGGGAAAUCAUCAGCCUGUAACAAUCUUCUUGGGUGUGUCCUAUCUUCCCACAAUAGGUACAAGAGAGAUUACGAUUGUAUUUUUUCUUCCCUCUAAAUUUCUGUUGUGGCCUUGGAACCAUUUGAGGUGCACUGUCGAAUUUUUGACCAGCCAGUGUUCCUCUUGGAGCUUGAUUUUUAAACGUCUGAUUAUUUCCCCCUUGUCCUGCUGCCAUGAAUGCUGCAAAAUCAGCAAACACAUGUGCAUUUGAUUGUUUUCCCAUCUAGCCACCACGAAGGAUGCAGAAUCUGAAGAUUGUCGAUGCCCCCUUUCUAAGGUGAACUUGGGUUUAUGACAUUUGGGAGGACAACUCGUUCCCUUUUGGGAAUUGGAUUUUUUGAAGAGUCUCCACCUAAUGAUUAAAGUGCAUUAAGACACUAAAGAAGGGUUUGAGUUGGAAAAUUAGAGUUUGGGUAAGGGCUAGAAAUUAUCCAGAGGGGAUGGUGUUGCACCCCUCAGGAUUCAGUAGUGUGGUUCCCGGUCAUGCUACAAUUGUGACCUCAGAUAAAAAGUAAGCAAAUGGAGGUGUCAAAUAAGAGGGGAUUUUCACAUAUUAUUGCAGGUAAAUUGAAAGUUUUGAAGAAAGAUAAGGAAAGCAGAAAUUUUAAAGAAAUAGUUUGAAUAGUUCUGAAGAAAAUAAAUAAGUAAAGGGAAAUGAGGGUCAUAGGUUUACAAAUAAUAUGGUUCACAUCAAUGAAAUACCCGGUAAUCGCUCCUCAGAAGAGGGGUUACACAUGGCAUUAGUGCAUCGGUCAUCAUAUCCAUAUCUACCUUUUCCCACCCUAAUCCUACCAGUCCUAAAGGAAUUUAGGACUACUCGUCCUAAAGGGAAAGGAAAUUUGGGGUUUUUAUGGUUUAAAAGGACAAAAUUCUAGGGCGAGAAACAAAACAUGGAAAUCAGAUACGGGAAACACAUAACAAUUAAAAGGCUUUGGCAUGCCUCUUCACUUAAAAGCAGAUUGUUUAGCAUGACUUGCAAAUACUGGUUGUGGUCUGAAUUAAAUUUAAAGCGUUAAGACGGAUUGAUUUAUCACAUAUUCCUCAAAUAAGAAGUCCGAAUUAGGCCUACCCCUAGUUGUAAUUAUCAAAGACUGAUGCGUUAUUCAAUUACUUAAUGGCUUGCCUAGGUGACACCUAUAGGCAUGAUCUCUAACAAUGUGGAAGUAUGCUGAUUUUAAAAGAAGGCUUGUUGAUUAUAGAAUAAACAUAAGUUCUGCAAUCAUUAAGAAACAUUACUACUAUUUUAGACUUGUAGAUGAUUCAAAUUCAGUUGAUUACCUCUAUAGACAUGCUUUCUAAGCGUGAUUGGUUUUUAAACAUUUAUAUAAAUGGAGGAGUCAUAUAGGCAUGGUAUGUAGAAUGCAAUUUAUUAUUUAAACCUAUAAAUUAUUUGUCCACUGAUAGAUGUUUAUCCAGAAUUUAAGAGAUCCUAUAGACAUGUUAUCUAUAUGAUGCAAGAGUGCAGAAACCUAUAGUCAUGGCAUCUAUAUGAGUGCAGAACCUUAAAGACAUGAUUUCUACAUAUGCAGAAGUGCAAAAACCUGUAGGCAUGAUUUCUAUAUAAAUGCACAACCUUAAAGACAUGAUUUCUAUAAUACAGAAGUGUAGAAACAAAGAGGCAUAUGUGACGACCCGGCCGGCCGUCUUUGAAAUUUAUGCCUCGUUCCCCUAUUAAAUACUUCACCUAAGUUCAUUUCUACUAUUUUGGCUUGCUAGGACGUUCGGUGUUAGGAUCCGGAGUGUUUAGGUAUACUUAGUCCCUAAAUGAGAGCUUAAGUACUGGAAAGUGAUCCGUAGUUGGUAUGAAAAUGACCUCGGAAUGGAAAUCUGGUUGUUCCGUUAGCUCUAUUAGGUGAUUUGGGGUUAGGACCGUGUUUGGAAUGUAUUUUGGAUGUCCUAGCUCACUUAGGCGAGAAAUUCCGAAUAUUAGAAUUUGGAGGGUUCCGGCUUGAUAGUGAAUUUUUUAUCUGAGGGUCGAAAUGGGAUUUCAAAAGUAGUUGUAGCACGUCAUGCCAUUUGGGACGUGCAUGCAAAAUUUAAGGUCAAUCGGACAAGUGUUUCUUAGGUUUUGAAUCGAAAGCGUGUUUUGGAUGAACUUGGAAUUAUUGUGCUUGAAUCAUUAAUUUAAUCGGGCUUCCGGUGUUGUUUUGUAGGGUUUAAGGACUGUUACAAGUUCGAAUAAGGUGUUAGAUGGUAUUGGCAUUUUUGGUUGGGGUCCCAGGGGCCUCGGGUGUGUUUCAGAUGCUCAACGGGCAAGUUUUGGGAGUUGGAAGAAAAAAUUGCAGCACGCUCCUACCAUUUUUGCUUCUGCAGCUCCGGGACCACAGAAGUGGAGCCGCAGAAGCGGCUGAAGAAAUCGUAGAAGCGGAUGGUGGACUUGGGCAGAGACCGCAGAAGCGGUAUGGUAUCCGUAUAGGCAGAACUGCAUAAACAGUUCUUGUGACCGUAGAUGCGGAAGUCCGGGUUUAAUAAGGAGUCACAAAUGCGGCUCGUGGUUCACAUAUAUGGGACAGCAGAAGCGGUCCCUGGACCACAAAAGAGGAAACCACUAUUCUGAUAUGGGUUUAUGCGAGGCCUUAUUUUAAAAGUUGAAAAAUUCAAUUUGGAGCUCGGUUAAGGGCGAUUUUGAGAAGAUUCGAAGAGGAUACUACCGGGUAACGUUUCUAUGAUCCUUUCUAGUUAUAUUCCAUUAUUUAGUAGUUAAAUCCUUCUUUUAAAUUUGAAUUAAAGAUCAAAAAUGGGAGAAUUUAGGUGAAGGUUCAUUGGUUAAAUUAUUGAGUUUUGAGGGGGCAAUUGACCUCCAAUUUGGGAGAUUUUGAUAUGGUUAGACUCGUGAGAGUACGAGGUUUCUGAAAAUGUGAAAAUUAUUCGAUCUCGAGCCAUUGCCUGAGGGGUGUUUUGGUCAUUUUAUCCAUUUUCGCGCCUUUGCUUUAUUUUUAAUAGAGAAAUUAGUUACUUGUGAUGUUAUUUAUAUUAUGUAAUUGGUUUGAAUAGAUUUGAGCCAUUCGAAUUUGGAUACUCAUGGAAAGGGCAUCGUUCCUUAGUGAUUUUUGAACCGGUUCGAGGUAAGUGGCUUCUCUAACUUUGUGGGGGGGACCUCUCCCCUUAGGAUCUAUUACAUGCUAUCUUAAAUGGCCGGUACAUGAGGAGACGAGCGUGUACUUGUACUAGUUGCUGAAAAUCUAUUUUACUUAGAAUAUUUAACUGUGUUUUCUUGAGAAUUUGCCUGUUCUAAUUGCAAUUUAACUUAUGUUAGCUUAUGAUAAACAUGUUUAGCUGACUUACUUGCUUAAUUUUUUAAACUGUAUUAUAUGUCCUACAUAAAGCAUGCUAGACUAGAAAUUUCAUUAAUUGUUCUUACUUAGCACCUUAUCUUAUUUGAAUUAUGUGGUAUUACGAAUAAAGACUGCGGGACGGCAUCCCGAUAACUCCCUUAUAUGGGUUUCGUUCUAUGAUUGAGAGUGCGGGAUACCAAGAGAUCCAUGGCACAUAUAUGAUUGAAAAAUGGAGGAUGCCAGGAGAUCAUCGGGAUAGUAAGAGAUCCCUUAUGUGAAAAUGGACGAUACCAGGAGAUCAUCGGGAUACUAAGAGAUCCCUUAUGUGAAAUGGAGCAUACUAGGAGAUCCUCGGGAUAUUAGGAAAUCCCUCGAUUAUAUGAUGAGGAUACGAGGAGAUCCCCGAUGAUAGAUAUCCGGUGGUGAUUUGCACUUCUAGUUAUUACUGUGUUAGUUCUCGAUUACUGUCUUAUUUAUUAUUUUCCUAGAUUCUUGCAGUAGAUUAUACCCAUAUGGUCUUUCCUUAUUCUAUUGAUUAUUAUAUUUUUAUCUCAGUAGGUCCUUGACCUUUGCUCGUCAUUACUCGACCGAGAUUAGGCUUGACACUUACUGGGUAUCGUUGUGGUGUACCAUUUCCUCUGCUGCGCAUGUUUUUCAUGUGCAGAUCUAGGUACCUCUAUGCAGGUGCAUUAUUAGUAAGUGCAGGGAGCACUUCGAAGACUUGAGAUAUAUUUUCCGCAUCUGCAAACCGGAGAGUCUCCCUCUCACUCUUCCCUUUUUGUUAGUUAGAUGUUAUUAUGUUCUUCCUUGUUAUGCACUCUUCCGGAUGAUUAGAGCAGUAUUAUAUAUACUCUAAGCCUGUGUUUCCCGUGGGUUUCUGGGUCUUUGGGAUAGUUUCAGAAUGUAGAGUGUUAAACUGUAUGUGCCAGGCGGCAACAAUAUACAUUAUUCUUGUUAUUUAGUUUUUGAAUUAUGAAUUACAUAAAUGUUGUUACUUCCGCAAUGUGUUAGGCUUACCCAGUUGUGAAGACUGGGUGCCGUCAUGAAAUGUUCACAAAUGGUGAACUAGGGUCGUGACAAGUUGGUAUCAGAGCUCUAGGAUCAUAGGAGUCAGGUGACACGGGCCGGUUUAUUAGAGGCUCGCUGUUCGGUACGAAGACCUCUGUACUUAUCUACGUGAGGCUAUGUAACUGUUUAGGAAAAAUCUUCACUUCAUUGAAUUCCUUGUUGUGCUAUAUUUUUGACAUCGACUCUAAGCUUUUGUCUUCUAUUCUCUCACAUAUGGUGAGGACACGUACGACCCAGGACGAUCAGGCACUCGCACCGCCUCCUGCAGCCGCUAGAAGCAGGGGUUGGGGCAGGGGUUGUGGUCACGCGCGUGGUGCAGCCAAAGCACUUGCACGAGCUGCCGUUGAGGUACCGCCAGCAGAUCCAGCCAGGGCUCAGGCACCUGACACACCUACUGCCACCGCUACUCCAGCUGUUCAGGAUGCAUUGGCAUAGUUUAUGAGCAUGUAUACUAUGCUGUCACAGGCAGGGUUGCUUCCCCUUCCUGCAACACAUCCCAGGCUGGGAGAGGAGCCCAGACUCCCACAGCCCGCACUCUUGAGAGAAGAGUGCAUAUGGGGCAGGUUCCAGAUAUUAUCCCUGUCCAGCUUGUACUAGCGGUUCAAUCGAGGAUGGGGCACCUGCUUGUGAGGAUGAGCAGCGUAGACUUGAGAGGUUCAAGAAGUAUGACCCUCUGAUUUUCAGCGGAUUAGCUAUGGAUGAUGCUUUGGGGUUUCUGGAGGAUUGUCACCACAUCUUUCUCACUAUGGGUAUUACUGCAUUGAGCGAGGUUUCUUUCGCAGCUUUCCAGCUUCGAGGGGCCACCAAUGAUUGGUGGCGCACCUUUGAGUUAGACAGUCCGGACGAGGCGGCCUCCCUGACUUAGACUCAACUUUCAGAUAUGUUUCAGAGGGAGUUCGUUCCCCAGAGCCUCAGGGAUGCAUGGUGCGCGGAGUUUGAGAAUGUGCACCAGGGCAAUAUGACCGUUUCUGAGUAUGCCAUCCGAUAUACUAGGUUGGCAAGAAAUGCACCGGCCCUGGUGGCUACUGCCCGCGAGAGGGUUUACCAGUUUAUUUAGGGCCUUAUCCCCCUCCAUCAGGUCUGGCAUGGCUCGAGAGUUGGAGGUGGAUAUACCUUAUAAGCAGGUAAUGAGCAUUUCCAGGAGGAUAGAGGGUAUGCACGCCAAAGAGCAAGAGGAGAGAGAGGCCAAGAGGUCUCGAGAGACGGGUCACUACUGUGGAACCCGUACAUCAGCAGCAGGACGCCGUGGUAGGGGCUAUAUGGGUCGCCCAGUUCAUUCAGCUCUUUCUUCAUCCAACAGUACUCCAGCUCCUCCCAUAUCUCAGAAGCCUUAUUAUGCACCUAUGGUUUUUAGUGCGCCUGUUGCACGGGGUGCUUCCAAAGGUCAGUCCAGCAGGGUAAUGCCCAGUCAGUCACAGCCACUCGUCCUCCCAGAGCUUGUUUUGAGUGCAGGUGAUAACUGUGAAUUAUACAUGAAUUAUACCCAUUCUUACCUUAGCUUUGUGCAUAAUUUACCUUUGAUUAAUCCUAAAUUACUUACAAGUUGCUUUUGAUUGCAGGUUUGAGUGACAAGAUGAUUAAAAUCACAAAUCGACUUAACAAGGAGUGAAACCUGCCAAGUGACAAGAAGUGGGAAUUAAGAACCUGCGCGGACCACACUAUUUUGGUGUGCGGCCGCGUAGGAAAGUUAAGAGACUUCUGAAACUGUCCUGCCUCAUGCGCGGUCCGCGUGGGCACAAGUUCAGAGAAGCAAAAUUUUUCCAAAUCCUUUGGGGCAGCCACACAUCACUUUCAUGCGGUCCGCCUGAUCCAACCUACGCAGCCGCAGUGCAUUUCCAUGCGGUCCGCUUGCCAAGACCUACGCGGCCGUGAUGCAUAAUGAUGCGGUCCACAUCUCUGAUCUAGAGGCAGCUAAAGUGAAGACACCAUACCCUAUGCGGCCGUACGCAUCUCUGUGCGGUCCGCAUCAAACCCUCAGGGGCAUUUUGUCCAGUUUUCCUAAGUAGUAUAAAUAGAACACUUCAUUGUUUUAGGUUAAGUUUUAUGAUCUGAACAGUAGUUGCGCUCGUGAGGUUUUAUAUUAGCCUAUUUUAAGCAACUUCCUAUUUUAAUUAAAGUGGAUUUGAGUAGAUUUAGCAUAUAGUUAAUGACUAUGUUCAUCUCUUUCAUUAUCUUUGAUUUUUCUAUUACUUCCAUGUCUAGCUAAACCCAUUAGCUAGGGUUGUGGC
rnacentral:lncRNA from 1 species